GUCGUAGAACAGUCAACGUCGUUCGAAGAACGUCAGCCUAAUAAUAAAAUUUUAACUAUACUUUUAUACCUUUCCUUUCGAUCAUCACACGUAACUCUACGUCAAUUCAUGAAGUUCGUCUCGUUCGAACACGGAACUACCGUAAUCCUUCCUCGAUGAUGGGACAAUGGCUACCAUUGGUCGCAAAUGAGACGGACAAGCGACUCGUUAUUAGUUAUUCGACUGGUCACCGACAAAAAAGUCAAUAAUUUCACCGGUGGCGGCUCUAACGACGAGAGAAGCGACAAAAAGCUCAAUCUAUCAAAUUGUCACUGGCCUUUCUAUUUCAUAGCUCCCCGCCAUCCUAAUAAGCAAUCUUCUUCAAGAAAGAAAGAGUGAGAAAGAGAAAGAGCGAAAGAGAAAAGAGAGAGAGAGAGAGAAAAAGAGAGAAGAGAGAAAGAGACAGACCGUAUACCGUAAACCGACAUCCAGCAGCUGAAUGGGUUCCGGCCGGUACCGACUACCGAUUGCCGACUUCGAUCACAGGGCCGCUUCUAUCUUUUUCUCUUUACGAUCUAUUCUAAAAAAUAUUUGACUAUCUAUUUUAGACCAAAGUUCAAAAGCGUAAAUAUAAUUUGACAUGGAUAUUCCCAAAACUAUGAAUCUUCUUUCGAGGAUAAUUAAAUUCAAUCUAAAAAAAGAUUAUGAAUAAUUUUGAAGACAAUUUUGAAAUGUUUACGAUUGCAAUGUUCUUUUCUUUCUUUUUUUUUUUUUUUUUUGAAAAAACGAUUAUUGUUACGAAUUGAUUGAUAGAAAUUAAUUUUAUUCGUAUUUAUUAACGAUAAAUAUUUUAUUAUGGAUCAGUCCCUGUCUCUAGAAAACUGUCCUUCGGAAUAUACACCGACCACGAACCAGAGACGAUCAGUACGACUACCGUAUUUUCUUGUAAUGGUUCGUAGAAUAAAGAUGGACAUCGCACCGGUAGUUAAUAAUUCCUUUAUGUCGUCGUUUUGUUUUCGACGACAUAUAUUCAUAGGAACGUGUCUUUUAGCAAUCGUAGACAACGUCGUCACGUUACAUAAAACGACAUUUCAUUUACUUAAGACACUUUAUCGAAGGCUCGUUAAUUAUUUCCGAGAAAUGAGAAGACGACGAAAAACGGAUUAACGAGCUUUCGAUCGUAAAUGAUUGAUUGUACGACACUUUCGGUUGGAUUCAUUCGCGAUACUUAAUGAUUUAUCGUCUCGAAAAUGUUAAUGCUGCGAAGCUAAUUGCUUGGGAAGAAACGAUCAAGAGAGAGAUAACGUGCACUUAAUAGAAGAAAAAAGAAGAGGAAAUAAAAAAGAAAGAGAGAGAGAGAGAGAGUCUCAGCGACCUUUCGUACCACCUUCGGGGCUAGAUCGUGCCGAAUGUGAGCAUCGAUGAGUCACUCUUUACGUGCCAAAGUGUAUUUUCAACGCUGACAUCACGCGUAAUCCUGUUGAUCAAGUUCAACGUCGACCGAUGUUGAACGCGUAUAGGCAAGGUAAUUAGCCCGUUGAGGAAAUUGUUAUAUGGUAUUAUCGUUAUUAACGAGAUUCUAACAUUGUACUUGAAAAUCCUGAACGAAUUCACAAUCUGAAUAGAAAUGAAACACAAAGGCCGUUUCUUCAUGAAAUUUGUCGUUGUAUUGUUAAUCGAAUGUUAAAUUGUUAACUUGUGUCAUUCAAAUAGUAUCGAUUUUUUAAGAAAUUGAGUUAACUAAUUA